CGCAGUAAACGAUGAANNNUAAUUGUUCGGGGGGCAACCCCUGAGUGAUACAGCGAAAGCGUUAAGUAUUCCACCUGGGGAGUACGCCGGCAACGGUGAAACUCAAAGGAAUUGACGGGGGCCCGCACAAGCGGAGGAACAUGUGGUUUAAUUCGAUGAUACGCGAGGAACCUUACCCGGGCUCAAACGUUGGGGGAAUGCUCCUGAAAGGGAGCAGCCAGCAAUGGUCGCCAACGAGGUGCUGCAUGGUUGUCGUCAGCUCGUGCCGUGAGGUGUCGGCUUAAGUGCCAUAACGAGCGCAACCCCGGCGUCCAGUUACCAUCAAGUCAUGUUGGGGACUCUGGACGGACUGCCGGCGCAAGCCGUGAGGAAGGCGGGGAUGACGUCAAAUCAGCACGGCCCUUACGUCCGGGGCGACACACGUGUUACAAUGGCGUGGAACAGCGGGAAGCCACCUGGCGACAGGGAGCGGACCCCUAAAACACGUCUCAGUUCGGAUUGGAGUCUGCAACUCGACUCCAUGAAGCUGGAUUCGCUAGUAAUCGCGCAUCAGCCAUGGCGCGGUGAAUACGUUCCCGGGCCUUGUACACACCGCCCGUCAAGCCAUGGGAGCCGGGAGUGCCUGAAGUACGUAACCGGAAGGAGCGUCCAAGGGUAACACUGGUGACUGGGGCUAAGUCGUAACAAGGUAACCA
rnacentral:rRNA from 1 species